rnacentral:tRNA from 1 species
UUAGUAGUAGUAUAAAUAGUAUGUUCUCCUUCCAAGAGAAAGGUCCAUAAAAUUGGUUACUAAA